rnacentral:rRNA from 1 species
ACGCUGGCGGCGUGCCUAACACAUGCAAGUCGAACGGACGAGGGGAGCUUGCUCCUCGAGUUAGUGGCGAACGGGUGAGUAACGCGUGAGCAACCUGCCUUUCAGAGGGGGACAACGGUUGGAAACGACCGCUAAUACCGCAUGAUGCAUUCUGACCGCAUGAUCGGGAUGCCAAAGAUUUAUCGCUGAAAGAUGGGCUCGCGUCUGAUUAGAUAGUUGGCGGGGUAACGGCCCACCAAGUCGACGAUCAGUAGCCGGACUGAGAGGUUGAACGGCCACAUUGGGACUGAGAUACGGCCCAGACUCCUACGGGAGGCAGCAGUGGGGAAUAUUGGGCCAAUGGGGGAAACCCUGACCCAGCAACGCCGCGUGAAGGAAGAAGGCUUUCGGGUUGUAAACUUCUUUACCAGGGACGAAGGACGUGACGGUACCUGGAGAAAAAGCCACGGCUAACUACGUGCCAGCAGCGGC